rnacentral:lncRNA from 1 species
UGUUGAGGAAAUUUCUGCAGUUUUAAGCAGUCGUAUUUGUGAUUGAAGCUGAGUACAUUUUGCUGGUGUAUUUUUAGGUAAAAUGCUUUUUGUUCAUUUCUGGUGGUGGGAGGGGACUGAAGCCUUUAGUCUUUUCCAGAUGCAACCUUAAAAUCAGUGACAAGAAACAUUCCAAACAAGCAACAGUCUUCAAGAAAUUAAACUGGCAAGUGGAAAUGUUUAAACAGUUCAGUGAUCUUUAGUGCAUUGUUUAUGUGUGGGUUUCUCUCUCCCCUCCCUUGGUCUUAAUUCUUACAUGCAGGAACACUCAGCAGACACACGUAUGCGAAGGGCCAGAGAAGCCAGACCCAGUAAGAAAAAAUAGCCUAUUUACUUUAAAUAAACCAAACAUUCCAUUUUAAAUGUGGGGAUUGGGAACCACUAGUUCUUUCAGAUGGUAUUCUUCAGACUAUAGAAGGAGCUUCCAGUUGAAUUCACCAGUGGACAAAAUGAGGAAAACAGGUGAACAAGCUUUUUCUGUAUUUACAUACAAAGUCAGAUCAGUUAUGGGACAAUAGUAUUGAAUAGAUUUCAGCUUUAUGCUGGAGUAACUGGCAUGUGAGCAAACUGUGUUGGCGUGGGGGUGGAGGGGUGAGGUGGGCGCUAAGCCUUUUUUUAAGAUUUUUCAGGUACCCCUCACUAAAGGCACCGAAGGCUUAAAGUAGGACAACCAUGGAGCCUUCCUGUGGCAGGAGAGACAACAAAGCGCUAUUAUCCUAAGACCCUUCACCCCUCACCUCGAUGCAGCCAGUAGCUUGGAUCCUUGUGGGCAUGAUCCAUAAUCGGUUUCAAGGUAACGAUGGUGUCGAGGUCUUUGGUGGGUUGAACUAUGUUAGAAAAGGCCAUUAAUUUGCCUGCAAAUUGUUAACAGAAGGGUAUUAAAACCACAGCUAAGUAGCUCUAUUAUAAUACUUAUCCAGUGACUAAAACCAACUUAAACCAGUAAGUGGAGAAAUAACAUGUUCAAGAACUGUAAUGCUGGGUGGGAACAUGUAACUUGUAGACUGGAGAAGAUAGGCAUUUGAGUGGCUGAGAGGGCUUUUGGGUGGGAAUGCAAAAAUUCUCUGCUAAGACUUUUUCAGGUGAACAUAACAGACUUGGCCAAGCUAGCAUCUUAGCGGAAGCUGAUCUCCAAUGCUCUUCAGUAGGGUCAUGAAGGUUUUUCUUUUCCUGAGAAAACAACACGUAUUGUUUUCUCAGGUUUUGCUUUUUGGCCUUUUUCUAGCUUAAAAAAAAAAAAAGCAAAAGAUGCUGGUGGUUGGCACUCCUGGUUUCCAGGACGGGGUUCAAAUCCCUGCGGCGUCUUUGCUUUGACUACUAAUCUGUCUUCAGGACUCUUUCUGUAUUUCUCCUUUUCUCUGCAGGUGCUAGUUCUUGGAGUUUUGGGGAGGUGGGAGGUAACAGCACAAUAUCUUUGAACUAUAUACAUCCUUGAUGUAUAAUUUGUCAGGAGCUUGACUUGAUUGUAUAUUCAUAUUUACACGAGAACCUAAUAUAACUGCCUUGUCUUUUUCAGGUAAUAGCCUGCAGCUGGUGUUUUGAGAAGCCCUACUGCUGAAAACUUAACAAUUUUGUGUAAUAAAAAUGGAGAAGCUC